UACGAAGGGGGCUAGCGUUGCUCGGAAUUACUGGGCGUAAAGGGCUCGUAGGCGGUCUGUCACGUCGGGAGUGAAAACACGGGGCUUAACCCCGUGCCUGCUUCCGAUACGGGCAGACUAGAGGUAUGCAGGGGAGAACGGAAUUCCUGGUGUAGCGGUGAAAUGCGCAGAUAUCAGGAGGAACACCGGUGGCGAAGGCGGUUCUCUGGGCAUUACCUGACGCUGAGGAGCGAAAGUGUGGGGAGCGAACAGG
rnacentral:rRNA from 1 species